CAACACGUAGUACUUUUUAAAAAUUCCUUUAGUUCUGUUCGCCCAAUCCGCGCUUGCCACGUGGGCAUGACGCGGAUCAAGCCUUUCUUUUGAUCUGGGUCGUCCAGCUAUUUAAUCCGAUGGUCCUCACUUUUCCCAUUUGUUUUGUUUUUUUUCUUUUUCUUUUUUCCUUUAUAUAUAUAUAUAUAUAUAUAUUCCUUUUCAUUUAAAUGUUUCUUUUAAUCUGGACCAUCGAUCAAUAUUUGAUCAACGGCCCAAAUUAAAUCCCCACCUUUAAUCCCAUCAGAUCCCCAAAACAUAGAAACCCUUACACCCACAAACCUCUCCCAUCGCCGCCUGCUCCCACCUUCUCCUCUCUUCUUUUUCCUCCUUCCCCAUGCCAAAGGACAACCAUGGCAGACGAAGCCCACAUCCCUCUCGUCCUUUCCUCACUAUUCACAACGUCACCAUGGUACUCGAAGCCAUGGCAAAAUCUUCCACUCCGCCGAAUCCUCAACGAUUUCGAAUCUAGGGAAUCAAAGUUGAAAUCGAUUCAAACACUCUUGGACCCAUUUCGUUGCUCAAAAUCAGUCUAAACAGUAGCAGGCAAAAAGCACAUGCAGUAGCAGCAGCCUCGCAGUGACAAAAAUAUUGCAAAUCUCGGGCAGAAGUAUGAGAGAACCUAGGACAGGGCUUUUAGACUCUCUCGGACUAAGCCCGAGUAUUAUAAUAUCUUGGAUUGAGCCAAAAAUCCAAGUCUCUUUAACUCUUUCUCCUUUAACUUCUGAUAUCAUUUGUAUUUCUGUGGAAACCCCUUUUGAGAACUAAAUAAAGCCCCAGCAGGCAUUUGAAAUACGUUAAAGUUGCUAUUUUACGUUUUCAGCUUUCGUCAAU